AUUGAACGCUGGCGGCAUGCCUUACACAUGCAAGUCGAACGGCAGCACGGGGCAACCUGGUGGCGAGUGGCGAACGGGUGAGUAAUGCAUCGGAACGUACCUUUCAGUGGGGGAUAACGUAGCGAAAGUUACGCUAAUACCGCAUAUUCUGUGAGCAGGAAAGCAGGGGAUCGCAAGAACAUGACCUGAAUGCGUUGCAGAUGUCAGAUUAUGUAGAUGGUGAGGUAAAGGCUCACCAAGGCGACGAUCUGUAGCGGGUCUGAGAGGAUGAUCCGCCACACUGGAACUGAGACACGGUCCAGACUCCUACGGGAGGCAGCAGUGGGGAAUUUUGGACAAUGGGGGCAACCCUGAUCCAGCCAUGCCGCGUGAGUGAAGAAGGCCUUCGGGUUGUAAAGCUCUUUCGGCCGGGAAGAAAUCGCACGGGCUAAUACCCUGUGUGGAUGACGGUACCGGAAUAAGAAGCACCGGCUAACUACGUGCCAGCAGCCGCCGUAA
rnacentral:rRNA from 1 species